rnacentral:rRNA from 1 species
GAUGAACGCUGGCGGCGUGCCUAAUACAUGCAAGUCGAGCGAACGGACGAGAAGCUUGCUUCUCUGAUGUUAGCGGCGGACGGGUGAGUAACACGUGGAUAACCUACCUAUAAGACUGGGAUAACUUCGGGAAACCGGAGCUAAUACCGGAUGAUAUUUUGAACCGCAUGGUUCAAAAGUGAAAGACGGUCUUGCUGUCACUUCUAGAUGGAUCCGCGCUGCAUUAGCUAGUUGGUAAGGUAACGGCUUACCAAGGCAACGAUGCAUAGCCGACCUGAGAGGGUGAUCGGCCACACUGGAACGGAGACACGGUCCAGGCGCCUACGGGAGGCAGCAGUAGGGAAUCUUCCGCAAAGGGCGAGAGCCUGACGGAGCAACGCCACGUGAGUGAUGAAGGUCUUCGGAUCGUAAAACUCUGUUAUUAGGGAAGAACAUAUGUGGAAGUAACUGUGCACAUCUUGACGGUACCUAAUCAGAAAGCCACGGCUAACUACGUG